AUGGUGGGACCAAGCCAAAACAUCAUCAAUGACAACAAUGAAGACAGGGACAGGUUAAGUGGUAAACCUCCAGUCUUUGAUGGAGAAAACUUUGACUACUGGAAAGACAGAAUUGAGAGUUUCUUUCUGGCCCAUGAUUCUGAUCUGUGGGACAUGGUGACUGAUGGAUAUACACAUCCUGUGGAUGGACGUGGUCAGAAGAUAUACAGGAAAAUGAUGUCUGAUCAGUAA